rnacentral:rRNA from 1 species
ACCGGCGCACGGGUGCGUAACGCGUAUCCAACCUGCCCCCAACUCCGGAAUAGUCCCCCGAAAGGGGGGUUAACGCCGGAUGGUUGGGGCUGGGGAUGCGUCCCAUUAGGUAGUAGGCGGGGUAACGGCCCACCUAGCCGACGAUGGGUAGGGGUUCUGAGAGGAAGGUCCCCCACAUUGGAACUGAGACACGGUCCAAACUCCUACGGGAGGCAGCAGUGAGGAAUAUUGGUCAAUGGGCGAGAGCCUGAACCAGCCAAGUAGCGUGUGGGAAGAAUGCCUAUGGGUUGUAAACCACUUUUGCAGGAGGGUAAGUAUCCUGCGAAUAAGGACCGGCUAAUUCCGUGCCAGCAGCCGCGGUAAUACGGAAGGUCCAGGCGUUAUCCGGAUUUAUUGGGUUUAAAGGGAGCGUAGGCGGGGAGUCAAGUCAGUUGUGAAAAGCCACGGCCCAACCGUGGUCGUGCAGUUGAAACUGGUUCUCUUGAGUGCGCACGAGGACGGUGGAAUUCGUGGUGUAGCGGUGAAAUGCUUAGAUAUCACGAAGAACUCCGAUUGCGAAGGCAGCCGUCCGGAGCGUUACUGACGCUGAGGCUCGA